rnacentral:snoRNA from 10 species
GUCCUUUUGUAGUUCUUCAGCAGGAUGACUGGGUGUUCAUGCUCCUGUGUGAGAUAUGCUUUCCUCAAACCUCAAA